GGCAAUCUGACUUCAAAGUUUUGUUUUAUAAUCAAUAUGUAAACAAGACAGCUGUCACAAACAAGAAGUUCUUUUUCAUUAAAUUUAUACUUUCCUUUUUUCUUUUCUUUAUGCUUUCAGAGAUCUCUGAGCAACAUGAAAUCCUCAGGCAGAAGGUUAUAUCGUCAGCUGUGCUGCCUAUUAUUAGUGAAUUUAGUUUAUGGCAGUAGAGAAUUUCAAAGAAAAGUACUUCAAUAUAUAGGAUAUACUCAUAAUUAUUGCUUUUGAAGGGCAUCUUUGCAACUGAUUGCGUUCAGGAAACUCUCCGUACAGACAGUUGAUGAGCUCUGGGACUUCAUGGAACAUAUAAGUCGUGGGCAAUUAAUCGCCCAAACUCGUAGUGCCUGCUUUUUUUAUUUUAACGAUUUUCAAAAAAUGUAUGUUGAUUGUUCAGCCUCAACGAGUCAUGAAGUAGGCAAGAGACAUGUAGCAUCCAAGAGAUCAAUUUUAUAUGCGGACAGAAAACCUUACAAGAUUGAAGGACCCUUGAGGGCCACUCUAAUCACAUCACAACUUGAUUACUGCAAUGCCUUCUAUGUGGAGCUCCCUUUGAAGACCACCCAGAACUUCAACUUAUCCAGAAUGCAGUGUCACAAGCAGUGAUGGGCGUGCUUCUAGGUGCCCACAUAGAAUCAGGGAAUCAGGAAGCAUGCAAAUACAACAACAACAACAAUAAUAAUAAUGACUCCUUGAAUCGGAAGCACAAAGCAGGAAGCGUAUCGUAAAAUAAGGCCAAAAAAAGAGCUCGCUUUACCAUAGAUGAUUCUGAAUACUAUUUCUUAUUAUCUUUUUCUGAUUUGAAAAACAUGUUGGGUAUAAUAAUUACAAACAUGAGCUUCUUCUUUUAACAGAGUUCCAACAUUUCCAUUUGCCAAUUCCAGUGCUUUAUAAAUGUUGAAUACUUCCACUCUGUUAGGAAUAAUAUCUUUAAAAUUAGCACAUGUUUGUAAAAUUCUUAUUCUUUUCUUUUGGGGAGAAGCGCUAAAUUCAGUGGAAAUCCUAUAUAUUUUUAUAAGCUAAUAAAUGAUCGUGCAAUA